GUCCCGGUAGCUCAAUUGGCAGAGUUGCGGUUUCCAACACCGACGGUUGGGGGUUCGAUUCCCUCCUGGGAUG
rnacentral:tRNA from 1 species